rnacentral:rRNA from 1 species
UGGUGACUAUAGCAAGGAGGUCACACCUGUUCCCAUGCCGAACACAGAAGUUAAGCUCCUUAGCGUCGAUGGUAGUCGAAUGGCUUGGCGAAGUGAAAACGUUUGAAUC